AGGGGCGGGCAGGACGCAAACCUUCCUUCCCAGUCCCUCGGUUACCAGGGCAUCCCCGGCUCUCUGCAAUUCGGGAACCUUGCCAGAAGGGCUCCCACCUCCCCAAGCCCCCGCGGCCCCACAAGGUCCAAUUAGGGCUUUCGGCGGCCUAACUGGGGAGAGGCCGUGGUGAUGCAGAGGUUUAACCAGCAUCCGCCGGGAGCCCCGGGGUCCAGGCCCGGCGCUGGAGUCCCGCAGCGAAGCCUCGCAGCCCCCACGCCUCUCGACUCUAGGCUUGUGCCCUAAAAGCGGCCUGGGUUCCCUGGCGCACCCUCCUCUUUCUUAGCUUCUUUGUCCCUAAGGGAAACCUCCCCGUACCCUUAGGUGGGGCUCCCGGUCACUGCCACCACCCCUCUUGCUGCCGAAGCCGGCUCCCUGGCCACCUGGUGCCCUGCCGGGGUAUUCCAAAUCUGGGCAGCAGAAGCCGGCCGCCGCCGCCUUCAUCUGGAAAGGCUUAAGCCUUCUCCGGGUGGGGAAGAAGUCAGAAGGCCGCCUGUCUCCCCGUCCCCCAACCCCCCAACUCCCCAACUCGGUCC
rnacentral:lncRNA from 1 species